rnacentral:rRNA from 1 species
UACGAAGGGGGGCUAGCGUUGCUCGGAAUCACUGGGCGUAAAGGGCGCGUAGGCGGACUCUUAAGUCAGGGGUGAAAUCCUGGAGCUCAACUCCAGAACUGCCUUUGAUACUGAGAAGCUUGAGUCCGGGAGAGGUGAGUGGAAUUCCUAGUGUAGAGGUGAAAUUCGUAGAUAUUAGGAAGAACACCAGUGGCGAAGGCGGCUCACUGGCCCGGUACUGACGCUGAGGCGCGAAAGCGUGGGGAGCAAACAGG